rnacentral:rRNA from 1 species
AUUGAACGCUGGCGGCAGGCUUAACACAUGCAAGUCGAGCGGAGAUGAGGUGCUUGCACCUUAUCUUAGCGGCGGACGGGUGAGUAAUGCUUAGGAAUCUGCCAUUUAGUGGGGGACAACAUUCAGAAAGGAAUGCUAAUACCGCAUCCGGCAUACGGGAGAAAGCAGGGGAUCUUCGGACCUUGCGCUAAAUGAUGAGCCUAAGUCGGAUUAGCUAGUUGGUGGGGUAAAGGCCUACCAAGGCGACGAUCUGUAGCGGGUCUGAGAGGAUGGUCCGCCACACUGGGACUGAGACACGGCCCAGACUCCUACGGGAGGCAGCAGCGGGGAAUAUUGGACAAUGGGCGGAAGCCUGAUCCAGCCAUGCCGCGUGUGUGAAGAAGGCCUUUUGGUUGUAAAGCACUUUAAGCGAGGAGGAGGCUACUAGUACUAAUACUACUGGAUAGUGGACGUUACUCGCAGAAUAAGCACCGGCUAACUCUGUGCCAGCCGCCGCGGUAACAC